rnacentral:rRNA from 1 species
AGAGUUUGAUCAUGGCUCAGGAUGAACGCUGGCGGCGUGCCUAACACAUGCAAGUCGAGCGAUUCUCUUCGGAGAAGAGCGGCGGACGGGUGAGUAACGCGUGGGUAACCUGCCCUGUACACACGGAUAACAUACCGAAAGGUAUGCUAAUACGAGAUAACAUAAGAAAUUCGCAUGUUUUUCUUAUCAAAGCUCCGGCGGUACAGGAUGGACCCGCGUCUGAUUAGCUAGUUGGUGAGGUAAUGGCUCACCAAGGCGACGAUCAGUAGCCGACCUGAGAGGGUGAUCGGCCACAUUGGAACUGAGACACGGUCCAAACUCCUACGGGAGGCAGCAGUGGGGAAUAUUGCACAAUGGGCGAAAGCCUGAUGCAGCAACGCCGCGUGAGCGAUGAAGGCCUUCGGGUCGUAAAGCUCUGUCCUCAAGGAAGAUAAUGACGGUACUUGAGGAGGAAGCCCCGGCUAACUACGUGCCAGCAGCCGCGGUAAUACGUAGGGGGCUAGCGUUAUCCGGAUUUACUGGGCGUAAAGGGUGCGUAGGCGGUCUUUUAAGUCAGGAGUGGAAGGCUACGGCUCAACCGUAGUAAGCUCUUGAAACUGGAGGACUUGAGUGCAGGAGAGGAGAGUGGAAUUCCUAGUGUAGCGGUGAAAUGCGUAGAUAUUAGGAGGAACACCAGUAGCGAAGGCGGCUCUCUGGACUGUAACUGACGCUGAGGCGCGAAAGUGUGGGGAGCAAACAGGAUUAGAUACCCUGGUAGU